GCGCCCCUUAUCCAAAACAACUUCACAUUUGGCACUGUGCUUGUAUAGUCAGCAAUACACCCAUCCAAUGUGAAACUUGAUUGCGGAAAUAGUCAUCCUACUUUUGAAUACAGUGCCUUCAAUCCCCUACACACUGUUUGUUAAGGUGGGAAAUUUCCCAACAUUCAUCCACCUUUACAUUAGUCAUGUAUGUCUAGCAGUGUACUAUUAACUCUAACAGCUUUAUUUGUUUGGAAGCUCAAUCGAGAAAGCUCUCAUUCAUGCAGAGAUAUUAAGGAAAGCGAUGAGAACUCAGGAGGUAAUCAUUCCUUUGUUCUCCAGCUUUAUAUGAAAAACAACAGGAACCUUUGAACGGCGCGUCCUAACACAUGAUAGGCAGAAUUACUUUUUUCCAUUGUUUUGUUUACACCACUGAUUUGUUCAUUGUUUUCUAAUGUGUUUUCUUUUAGCACAUUUCCAUGUUGUAUCCACGAGAGGUGUUAUUGGCGAUAUGUGUAUUAUGUUUAGAUACAUGUUUUUUUUUGUGGGGGGGGGGGAAGUGCAAUGAAAUAAAAGACAAAUCUUAGUGCAAUCUCAGCUCUAUCAUCAAAGAUGUGCUUGACAUGCUGACAGUCUGAACAGCUGACCUGAAGACUGGAGCGUUUUUUUUUUGUUUCAUUUUUGUUUAAACUUUCUUUGCAGUGUAGAGAAAUCGUGAAUGGUGAUUACUUAAUUAUCCUCAUCUGUGAGUUUGUUUGUUUGUGUUACAGUGCGUAGCUACACGUGCAGAGUUUUCACUUCACUCAAAAAUGUGGACAGUUAAUCGGAAAUGUUAAAACACACAACGGGAUCUCAUUGACUUUUGUUUUCUCUGUAUCCUCUAAUGUGUGGCUCGUGUGCUCAUGCCAGUAGUGUUGCUUUGAUAACGUGGGACCUAAGUGGUUGGCCUAAAUUCAAUGAGAUGUCUUAAUAUCUGUAUAACUGAUGUAAUAACUUAUGACUAGUUUGAUGAUUAAAAUUCCCUCGUAUUACAUUUGAAAAUGCCAAUUUUCUUUGGUG
ensembl:lncRNA